rnacentral:rRNA from 1 species
AUUGAACGCUGGCGGCAUGCCUUACACAUGCAAGUCGAACGGCAGCACGGGUGCUUGCACCUGGUGGCGAGUGGCGAACGGGUGAGUAAUACAUCGGAACAUGUCCUGUAGCGGGGGAUAGCCCGGCGAAAGCCGGAUUAAUACCGCAUACGAUCCACGGAUGAAAGCGGGGGACCUUCGGGCCUCGCGCUAUAGGGUUGGCCGAUGGCUGAUUAGCUAGUUGGUGGGGUAAAGGCCUACCAAGGCGACGAUCAGUAGCUGGUCUGAGAGGACGACCAGCCACACUGGGACUGAGACACGGCCCAGACUCCUACGGGAGGCAGCAGUGGGGAAUUUUGGACAAUGGGCGAAAGCCUGAUCCAGCAAUGCCGCGUGUGUGAAGAAGGCCUUCGGGUUGUAAAGCACUUUUGUCCGGAAAGAAAUCCUUGGCUCUAAUACAGUCGGGGGAUGACGGUACCGGAAGAAUAAGCACCGGCUAACUACGUG